GGGCCAGUAGGUUGGUCGUGCCACCGGUACGUACUGGUCUCACUGAUUCCUCCUUCCUGAAGAACCGUAAUGCCAUUAAUUUGGUGUUGCGGGGAAACAGGACUGUUACUUUGAAAAAAUUAGAGUGUUUAAAGCAAGCUAACGCUUGAAUACAUUAGCACGGAAUAAUGAAAUAGGACGAUCGAUCCUAUUUUGUUGGUUUCUAGGAUUGACGUA
rnacentral:rRNA from 1 species